rnacentral:rRNA from 1 species
GCGGAGGAAAAGAAACUAACCAGGAUUCCCCUAGUAACGGCGAGUGAAGCGGGAAUAGCUCACCAUGUGAAUCUGUGCUCUGCACAGAAUUGUGAUCUGUAGACGUUGGCAUUACUGGGCUGGGUCAAGUCCCUUGGAACAGGGCAGCCGAGAGGGUGAGACUCCCGUCCACCUGGCCCUUGGAGCCUGCGUCGUCGAGUCGAGUUGUUUGGGAUUGCAGCUCAAAGUGGGUGGUAAAUUCCAUCUAAGGCUGAAUACUGGUGGGAGACCGAUAGCGUACAAGUACCGUGAGGGAAAGAUGCAAAGCCGCGCGAAAGCGCUGUUAAAGAGUACCUGAACUUGCUGAAAAGGAAGCGAAGGAAACCAGUGUCGGCUGCGUCAUACUUCCCCUGCUGCUUGCGGCUGGGGCGCUGUGGCCAGUGUGGUCCAUCUUGAUUGUGGUUGCCGGAUUUGCGCUCGGGGAGUUGACCCGGGUUGC